CAUUAAUCUUCAAAGUUUUGACAAGAGGGCCAGUAACAAAAUAGAACUUUCACAAGACCAGCCAGGCAGUUGCAAUUUGCCUGUAGGAAAGUUCUAAACCCUUUAAAUGGUUGUAUCAUUGGACACAAUUCACUAAAUGUGCUUUUUCUAAUUAUCGAACGGAAAUAAAUGCUAUUAAAGUAGUUUACAAAGCAGUGAAGAGGUUUCUGAAACCAGAUCCAAUGACUGGUUUGCCCAGACAGCACGUGGUGUCUCCUUACACCGGAUGGAAACUUUUUACCCCUUAAUUCCUGAAUGUUUGUGUAAGUCUCUGGACCUUGUUUGGUAAUAAAGACAUUUACAAGCUGGAAAA